rnacentral:rRNA from 1 species
GUCCUAGUUACCAGCACGUUAUGGUGGGCACUCUAAGGAGACUGCCGGUGACAAACCGGAGGAAGUGGGGAUGACGUCAAGUCAUCAUGGCCCUUACGGCCUGGGCUACACACGUGCUACAAUGGUCGGUACAAAGGGUUGCCAAGCCGCGAGGUGGAGCUAAUCCCAUAAAACCGAUCGUAGUCCGGAUCGCAGUCUGCAACUCGACUGCGUGAAGUCGGAAUCGCUAGUAAUCGUGAAUCAGAAUGUCACGGUGAAUACGUUCCCGGGCCUU